GGCAGACGGGUGAGUAACACGUGGGUGACUUGCCCCUCAGACUGGGAUAACGAGUGGAAACACUGGCUAAUACCGGAUGACCUUAUGACGUCAAAGACAUAAGGAAAGGUUACGACCGCUGAGGGAGAGGCUCGCGGCCCAUCAGCUAGUUGGUGAGGUAACGGCUCACCAAGGCAAAGACGGGUAGGGGGUGUGAGAGCACGGCCCCCCACAAUGGGACUGAGACACGGCCCAUACUCUUACGGGAGGCAGCAGCAGGGAAUAUUGCACAAUGGACGGAAGUCUGAUGCAGCGACGCCGCGUGGAUGAAGAAGGCCUUCGGGUUGUAAAAUCCUUUUAGUGGGGAAGAGGAAGGACGGUACCCACAGAAUAAGCGUCGGCUAACUACGUGCCAGCAGCCGCGGUAAGACGUAGGACGCAAGCGUUAUCCGGAUUUACUGGGCGUAAAGCGUCUGUAGGCGGAGGGAUAAGUUGGGCGUGAAAGCUCCAGGCUCAACCUGGAGAGUGCGUUCAAUACUGUCUGUCUAGAGGAGGUCAGAGGGGAGCGGAAUUUC
rnacentral:rRNA from 1 species